UGGAUCCAGACUUUGAUCCUGGCUCAGGAUGAACGCUAGCUACAGGCUUAACACAUGCAAGUCGAGGGGAAACGAUAUUGGAAGCUUGCUUCCGAUAGGCGUCGACCGGCGCACGGGUGAGUAACGCGUAUCCAACCUGCCCACCACUUGGGGAUAACCUUGCGAAAGUAAGACUAAUACCCAAUGAUAUCUCUAGAAGACAUCUGAAAGAGAUUAAAGAUUUAUCGGUGAUGGAUGGGGAUACGUCUGAUUAGCUUGUUGGCGGGGUAACGGCCCACCAAGGCGACGAUCAGUAGGGGUUCUGAGAGGAAGGUCCCCCACAUUGGAACUGAGACACGGUCCAAACUCCUACGGGAGGCAGCAGUGAGGAAUAUUGGUCAAUGGACGAGAGUCUGAACCAGCCAAGUAGCGUGCAGGAAGACGGCCCUAUGGGUUGUAAACUGCUUUUAUAAGGGAAUAAAGUUAGUCUCGUGAGACUUUUUGCAUGUACCUUAUGAAUAAGGACCGGCUAAUUCCGUGCCAGCAGCCGCGGUAAUACGGAAGGUCCGGGCGUUAUCCGGAUUCAUUGGGUUUAAAGGGAGCGUAGGCCGGAGAUUAAGCGUGUUGUGAAAUGUAGACGCUCAACGUCUGCACUGCAGCGCGAACUGGUUUCCUUGAGUACGCACAAAGUGGGCGGAAUUCGUGGUGUAGCGGUGAAAUGCUUAGAUAUCACGAAGAACUCCGAUUGCGAAGGCAGCUCACUGGAGCGCAACUGACGCUGAAGCUCGAAAGUGCGGGUAUCGAACAGGAUUAGAUACCCUGGUAGUCCGCACGGUAAACGAUGGAUGCCCGCUGUUGGUCUGAAUAGGUCAGCGGCCAAGCGAAAGCAUUAAGCAUCCCACCUGGGGAGUACGCCGGCAACGGUGCAACUCAAAGGAAUUGACGGA
rnacentral:rRNA from 1 species